GAUGAACGCUGGCGGCGUGCCUAAUACAUGCAAGUCGAGCGAACAGACGAGGAGCUUGCUCCUCUGACGUUAGCGGCGGACGGGUGAGUAACACGUGGAUAACCUACCUAUAAGACUGGGAUAACUUCGGGAAACCGGAGCUAGUACCGGAUAAUAUGUUGAAUCGCAUGGUUCAACAGUGAAAGACGGUCUUGCUGUCACUUAUAGAUGGAUCCGCGCCGCAUUAGCUAGUUGGUAAGGUAACGGCUUACCAAGGCAACGAUGCGUAGCCGACCUGAGAGGGUGAUCGGCCACACUGGAACUGAGACACGGCCCAGACUCCUACGGGAGGCAGCAGUAGGGAAUCUUCCGCAAUGGGCGAAAGCCUGACGGAGCAACGCCGCGUGAGUGAAGAAGGUCUUCGGAUCGUAAAACUCUGUUAUUAGGGAAGAACAAAUGUGUAAGUAACUAUGCACGUCUUGACGGUACCUAAUCAGAAAGCCACGGCUAACUACGUG
rnacentral:rRNA from 1 species